rnacentral:sRNA from 1 species
AUCCUCGAUUUGUUGGGGACAGAUAAAAUGGAUAUGGCUGUCCAUGCCGCCGGCGGUCAGGAUGCGCCCCUCGCCCGCGAUGGCCUCGGUGCCGGGACCGACGAUGAUAUCGACAUUGGGCUGGGUGUCAGGAUUGCCCGCCUUGCCGAUCCCUACAAUCACACCGGCUUUCAGGCCGAUAUCGGCCUUGUAGAUGCCCGUGGUAUCAACGAUCAGCGCGUUUGUGAUCACAGUGUCGACGGCCCCCUGCGCGCGGCUCAGUUGGGAUUGCCCCAUCCCGUCGCGGAU